rnacentral:rRNA from 1 species
AACACGUGAGCAACCUGCCCCUGACUCUGGGAUAAGCGCUGGAAACGGCGUCUAAUACUGGAUAUGUGACGUGACCGCAUGGUCUGCGUCUGGAAAGAAUUUCGGUUGGGGAUGGGCUCGCGGCCUAUCAGCUUGUUGGUGAGGUAAUGGCUCACCAAGGCGUCGACGGGUAGCCGGCCUGAGAGGGUGACCGGCCACACUGGGACUGAGACACGGCCCAGACUCCUACGGGAGGCAGCAGUGGGGAAUAUUGCACAAUGGGCGCAAGCCUGAUGCAGCAACGCCGCGUGAGGGACGACGGCCUUCGGGUUGUAAACCUCUUUUAGCAGGGAAGAAGCGAAAGUGACGGUACCUGCAGAAAAAGCGCCGGCUAACUACGUGCCAGCAGCCGCGGUAAUACGUAGGGCGCAAGCGUUAUCCGGAAUUAUUGGGCGUAAAGAGCUCGUAGGCGGUUUGUCGCGUCUGCUGUGAAAUCCGGAGGCUCAACCUCCGGCCUGCAGUGGGUACGGGCAGACUAAAGUGCGGUAGGGGAGAUUGGAAUUCCUGGUGUAGCGGUGGAAUGCGCAGAUAUCAGGAGGAACACCGAUG